GCCGCGACAGCACCACCUGGCCGAUUAUGUUGGCGUUGGAGCACACCACCGCCUCCUGGACGAACACCGGCCGGGAGUUUUUGCUCGACUCGCGCAUGGAGCGGAGCAGGCGGCCGACCUCGUCGGCCCGGACCUGUGCCUGUUCCGCGAUUGCCUUGGGGCCGAGAAGGUGGAGGUUAGAGAACCUGCGGAGAAGCUUCCACCGAGGCCCGUAGUUGGAGAACACGAAGUUCUGGCCGUCGUAGGUGACGUCCUUCCCGCUGAUGGUGGAGGGGCGGUUGGCGAACUGGAGGUCGCGCGCCUUGAGGAAGGACCGAGCGGCGCCAGCCGUGGAGGCCACCACGACCCGCACGGUGCCCAUCUUGAGGUGCAUGAUGGGGCCGUAGCGCUUGGCGAGUUCAGCCAGCGAGGCGUGGGCCAUGGGACCUAUCUGCGGCAGCGCGCCGAGCACCGGAAUGCCCUUGGGCCCGGGGGGAAGCGGCAACCGUGGGUUCGAUCGUAGCCUGCGGCGGAGGAGGAGGUGGACGACAACGCUCAAGAGAAUGCCGACGAUGAGCACAGUGUCA
rnacentral:lncRNA from 1 species